rnacentral:rRNA from 1 species
UACGUAGGGGGCAAGCGUUGUCCGGAAUCAUUGGGCGUAAAGAGCGUGUAGGCGGUCCGUUAAGUCGGCUGUGAAAGUCCAAGGCUCAACCUUGGGAUGCCGGUCGAUACUGCCGGACUAGAGUUCGGAAGAGGCGAGUGGAAUUCCCGGUGUAGCGGUGAAAUGCGCAGAUAUCGGGAGGAACACCUAUGGCGAAGGCAGCUCGCUGGGACGUUACUGACGCUGAGACGCGAAAGCGUGGGGGGCAAACAGG